AACACUGGUGUACUUCAGUCAGUUUGCUAGAAGUCAGUUUGAUUGCUUUGCGACUAUCGUUUCUUUUGUGAUUUUCUAUGCGUUUCAUGGUUUUAUUCUACCAACUUUGGCUUGAUUACGGACUCCGAUUAGAUUGCGUACUUGGUAGACUCGGCUGUGUGUAAAGGACUGGAUUUUCCUGGCAUUUUUGGAUAUUGCUCUGUCUGUGAUCGAAUUUAGUUGUAUUAUAAUUACAACAAUGGAUGCAGAAUAUAGUAUAUUGUAUAAAUUGUGGAUCUGCUGGAGGUCCUUUGGUAUUAGAAAACGAAGAUAUACUUCGUUGCAUACAACAAUGGACUGUUCCCCGUAUGGUUGAAGCUCAUGACCUUAUAUGUACGACGUGUUGGUCUGAAGCAGUCGAGCAUAAUAAGAUGCAAUGCACUGUUGGACGCAAUUGUGUACUUUGUAAGAAGCUCCUACCAUCAGGCAUUACUGUUGCAAUAGUAUCGUUGGGCGUAGAACAGUGGGCUGUUGUGCCCACAUAAUGACUAUAAUUUGGUAUUUAAGCUGGGCGAGAUACCAAAAUUCAAUUGAACCCCCUGCUCAGUUCUUAGAUAAAUAUAUUAUUGAGAAAUAUUGAUGAUUAAAAACCUUUAAUUGAAUAUAAA